GCCUUGAAAUCAAUUAUUACUUUAUAUACACAUGCAAGUCUCCGCACCCCUGUGAAAACGCCCUUAAAACCCCUUUAGGGAUAAGGAGCUGGUAUCAGGCACAAACUAUGCCCAAGACACCUAGCUACGCCACACCCACAAGGGAAUUCAGCAGUGAUUAACAUUGAAUAUAAGCGACAGCUUGAUUCAGUUAUAGUACACAGAGCCGGCUAAUCUGGUGCCAGCCGCCGCGGUUACACCACGUGGCUCAAAUUGAUUUUUAUCGGCGUAAAGCGUGAUUAAAGUUACAUUAACACUAGAGUGAAACUAAAACUAAGCCGUGACACGCUUGUAUUUAAGAAACCCAUAAACGAAAGUUACUCCAACUAUAUCAACUUGAACUCACGACAUCCGGAACACAAAC
rnacentral:rRNA from 1 species